GUGAUUGGUUGGAGUGAUACAACACAACGUUUAACUUUAACACUCCCUCCGUCAAAUAAAAAUCGGUUUCAGAUUCACAUUAAUCAUUCUUUCCAAACGCUCCUUUGACUUCCCCAAACCCCAAUUCCCAAUCCAAAUCGUGCCGCAUAUAUAUCCCAACGAAUUGAAAUAUGCGAGGUUAGGGUUUGUUGUAAAUUAGGGUUUGCUUUUUUGAAUCUAACUCGAAAUGGCGGUUUCCGGCAGUCCCAACGGCAGUUCCACACCUCCACCGCCGCCGCCACAACAAGAACGAGCUAACAAGCUUGGAUUCACCAAACCUAUCUCGCUUGCCGGUCCCACCACAGCUGAUCUCCAUCGUAACACCGAGUUAGAGAAGUUUUUGGUUGAUUCGGGUCUUUAUGAGAGCAAUGAAGAAUCUGCAAGCAGACAAGAGGUUCUUCGCCGCCUAGAUCAGAUUGUGAAAAGCUGGGUGAAGCUGUUGACCCGCCAACGAGGCUACACAGAUCAGAUGGUUGAGGAUGCAAAUGCGGUCAUCUUCACUUUUGGCUCUUACAGAUUAGGGGUUCAUGGACCUGGAGUGGACAUAGACACUUUGUGCAUUGGUCCUUCCUAUGUAAAUCGAGAGGAGGACUUCUUCAUCAUUUUGCAUAACAUCCUGGCUGAAAUGGACGAAGUUACUGAACUUCAACCGGUUCCUGAUGCACAUGUCCCAGUUAUGAAAUUCAAGUUCCAGGGAAUUUCUAUAGAUUUGCUGUAUGCGAGCAUAUCUAUUUUGGUUGUGCCAGAAGACCUGGAUAUCUCAGACGGUUCCGUUCUGCAUGAUGUUGAUGAACAAACUGUUCGAAGUCUUAAUGGCUGCAGAGUGGCGGAUCAGAUUCUUAAACUUGUUCCGAAUGUCGAGCACUUCCGAACUACGCUGAGAUGUUUGAAGUUUUGGGCUAAAAGACGUGGUGUUUAUUCAAAUGUUACUGGAUUCCUUGGAGGUGUAAAUUGGGCUAUUUUAGUUGCUAGAGUUUGCCAGUUUUACCCUAAUGCAAUCCCUAGUAUGUUGGUUUCUAGAUUCUUCAGGGUGUAUUCACAGUGGCGGUGGCCAAACCCUGUAAUGCUGUGCUCUAUAGAAGAAAAUGAACCACAUCUCCCUAUAUGGGAUCCUCGCAGAAAUCAUAGGGACAGGUUUCACCUUAUGCCAAUAAUUACUCCGGCAUACCCUUGCAUGAAUUCCAGCUACAAUGUCUCGACAAGCACUCUCCGUGUUAUGAUGGAACAGUUCCAAUAUGGCAACAAGAUUUGUGACGAAAUUGAGCUUAACAAAUCUCAGUGGAAUGCACUUUUUAAGCCAUAUGUCUUUUUUGAGGCAUACAAAAACUAUUUACAAGUAGACAUAGUUGCAUUAGAUGCUGAUGAUUUACUUUUGUGGAGGGGUUGGGUAGAAUCCCGACUGAGACAGCUAACCUUGAAGAUAGAGCGAGAUACAAAUGGGAUGCUGCAGUGUCAUCCUUAUCCACACGAGUAUGCAGACACGUCCAAGCCUUGUCCACAUUCUGCAUUUUUCAUGGGGUUGCAAAGAAAAGAGGGAGUAAGAGGUCAAGAAGGUCAGCAAUUUGAUAUACGUGGAACGGUUGAUGAAUUCAGACAAGAUAUUAUCAUGUAUGUAUACUGGAAGCCGGGGAUGGAAAUUUAUGUUUCUCAUGUUCGUCGAAAGCAGCUCCCUGCAUUUGUUUUUCCAGAUGGUUACAAACGUACUCGAAUGCCGAGGCAUAUGAGCCAUGCAGCUGACAAAAUGGGACAAUAUACCACAAAGUGCUACUCUGGUUCUAGCUCUUCUGAAAGGUGUAUCAAGAGGAAGAAUAGCCAUGAAAUGGGGGAUGUGAAACCCGAUAAACCUGAGAAGCGGGCAUCUGUUAGCCCACGGAGGCUAGAGUGUGUUUCACCUGAAAGUUGUACUAGUAAAUUAGAUGGUACACCUCAAAUGAGUAUUGAGUGUAUUGAUGGGGUUAGGCCAGACGGAUCAACAACGAAGGAUGCCGACAGCAAUUGUGAAAUCAAGUCAUCCGAUGGACUCUUAGGAAAUGAUACAAUUAUUGAAGUAGGUGACAUGCAGAUAGAUGAAACAUGUUUUGUUGAUUCCACACAUGAUAGGCUGAAAUCAAGGGAUUUAGUAGUGCAGAAUGAGAAUGGAGUCAAUGGGGACAAAGCUCUGGACCUGGCUUUUGUUUGCUUGGAAAGGGCAGAAACUACAUCUUCAAAAAGCCUGACAAACUGGGAAGAAAAUGCUGUUAAAAUGGAUCAACAACUAGACAGAGCUUGUAAUUUCACAAGGGCUGAAUGUUCAGAUUAUGCACCAAAUGCCAGCACCCAGAACCUCAAUUGCGAGGGUGAUGUUUGUGUGGCUGAUCCUGAUCAGUUCUGAAUAGAGUAUUUCAAAAUAUGGUGGCUGAAGAAGUUUAAGGUUUUGAAUUUUCUAAUCUCUUUCUGUUUUCUCCGUGGUAAACCUGAUCUAAUAUUACAAGAAUACUGUUUUCACAAAAUUGUUUUAUUUACACUCGCAAGAAUACUAUAUUUCAAGGGUUUUCAGCAUACAAAAUUGAUUUGAUUAUUUUCCCACCCGUUUGUUAUAGCUGGUUAGCACUUGGCAUAUAUUAUAUAAAAUCAGAAUAUGGUCUUUCCCUUUUCUCUUCCUAACUUGUUGGGUCUUACUAUGUUCAACUGUUCUUACAUGGUAUAUUUCCCCUUUUGCUUCAAGAUAAUUUGACUAUCAAUUUCGUGGCAAUUGAAUUUCAUAAUCAAUCUUCUGACCGGUGAAUAUGUGGUCGCAGGUCUUGCACCACUAUACGUGCUAUGUUUCCAGUAACUGUGCUUAACAACCUGACUUGUUUUAUGUGUAGAGGCUCAGAGACCAGACUUUCCUUUUGUUUCAUUUUAAAUUUUGUUUGAUUGCUUUGUUGGAUUUCUAACUUUUAUUCUUUCUAUUUUCCAUCUUGUGUAUAGACAGAUGUCAGACUCAGGAGUGUAUAAAUUAUCGAUGGAGCUAGGAGGAUAGGAGGUUAAGUUUGGGAUGCAUCACAUGGAGGUGAAUAAUGGAAAUUGCUGCAAAACUUUAUGCUAUAUUAGGAGCUAUUGAUGUACUGAGGUCAUAUGAACAUGCGGAGAGACUUUAGCUGGACAGUGAGAAUGGAAGCUAAUUAGAUUAAGGUUGCAUGUACAUGGAUGAACAGCAUAAAGGAGAUGCUUGCAAAUGCAUGAGCUCAUAGAGCUGUGAAUCAUCUCCUAAAACUUGACAUAUUUGCAUGCCGAGGAAUGGGAACUUUGUUGUUUUCUUGUGAUGUGGAUGAUCCAUAUAUCUUGUAAUGUAAAUGUAAUCAAAUAGUCUUUUUGGCUAAGUGAUUUAGAAGAGAAAAUGUUAAAACAGAUAUUUUUGGUGGCAUUUAAUUUGGAAGUUUAAGUGGUAGGAAAAAUCAAUCUGCCCAUGGAUUUUGAUGUUCUUUCAA